GUGUGAAGAUUUUGAUAAUUCAAAAAGCUCAUCUCAUGACUUUCUAACUCAUGAGUUUAUUACGAAAAUACCUUUUUGAGUGUUGGAUCAUCUCAACAUUUAUAAUUCAUGUAGAUGCCUAUAGAUUACACUUCUCUAAAUCAUUUCAAUUCCUAAGCAUUUUAAUUUGAGUUGAUUAGUUUUAUUCAUUUUGAAAUUAAAUCUUAGAACCAAAUGACAAGCUUUACAUGCAUUUUUCAAGAACAUAAAAAGAAAGUGAAGAUGACUUUGUGAUGAAAGCAGCUGAUCUCAUCAUCUCUAACACAUAAAAAUCUAGCCUAAAAGUCUUUGUUUAUUCACUUGGAGCUUAACCACACUCCUAUUCACCAAGGGUAAGUAGCUAGCUUAGAAACUAACUUGACUAAGGUUAGAUGUUGUUUUGGGUCUAUAAAAGAGCACUACUUCCUGCUCUAACUUCAUCCCAUUCUCAUUCAUAUAGGAAUUUCACUUAGAAACUCAUUGGAAAGAAAGAAAUCUUUAGUUAAAGAAAGUUAGCUUAAGCUCUUAGGUUCUUUAAGUUGUGAAGCUCAAUUUCGUGGCCAAGCCUCCAAUCACCUGUUGAUCACUUCAAAAGAUAUUCAUGUUUUGAGUAGAUGCUUGGGGAAACGGGAUGAUCCUACUAGAUAAAAUAAUGUUUUUCUACUACUAUUUCUAGUAAAUACCCGUACUUAUUUGAAUUUUGCUUAACUUUGAUUAUGUAAAUAUAUUACCGAUUUUUGUUUUCUAAUAAAAGUACUAUUCAAAGAUGUAUAUAAUUUCUUUUACUUCUUGUUGAUUUAUUCAAGAAGAAAAUUUUAUUUGUUUUGACUCACGUCACAAAUUCACGAGCCAUAUUUCAGUACAAUAUUGGCCUUGGAUUUGGGGGCGUGACAGAUUGGUAUCAGAGCAAAAGUUCCUUUUAAGUUUUGCUUUCUAUAAAUAAAAAUAUAUAAACGGGGUGGGUACUAUAUAUGUAGCAUAUACAUGCCUUUUAGGCUGUCGAAAGCUUUGAUGAGUAUUAUGUGUCCCUAUUCUUUGAUUGCAGUUAUAUUUUAUAUGCUGACUUUAUCAAGUUAGGAGAUGAUAUAGUGAUUUGUUUGGGUUUUGUUUCAUUGAAAAGAAGAGAUUAAUUAUCAAGAAUCAUUUGUCUAAUGUUCUUCUAUUAAUCAAACUAUUAUAGUCAAUAUGGCUAGUAGGUUUGAUCGAUCCUUUGUUUUUUGUAUAGAUCAAGCAGUGAUAAUGCCAUGAUUACGCUUUUGUCAAUAUGGUAAUUUAUGCAUAUGAUUUUGUGACACAAGUUUUUGAGACUAAGUGGUUUUGGAUAACAUUAGAUAUACAAUAAGUGGAAGUUAUAUGCUUUAGUAUGAGUAGAGUAAAAUGAUUCGUUUAGAUGUACUCGUGACUAUUAUGGAAGUAUGAGUACUAAAGCCUUAGAAGAAUUGUUAAGCGUUCGCAAGACACCCAAAUUUCUCUUCCACUAAAAGAGCUUAGCAUAUAAGGUAGUUGUUGAAUUGCUUAACCAGGAUCUAGUAACAGUUUAGGGCUAGCUUGAUAUCCCUAUGGUAAAUUGAUAUUGAAGAGAUCCUUUUAUUUGGAAGUUAAACUUAAUUAUUUUAGGAAAAUUCGGAUCUGUAGAUUAGUCUCGUGAGAGAAAGAAAAUGGCGUUCAUUAUUAUAGCAGAUUAAGUGGUUCCUAGAAUGCUCUAGAAUUAUUGGUUGAAACAAUUGCUGGGUAGGCUACAGAUAGGAGAAAUUUUGAGGAGUAUUUAGUGAAAAUAUUGGUGAAUAAGAUUAGUUUAUAGCAAUAUUGGUCCUAGUGCAUUUGGGAGAUCUUUAAGCAUUGAUCGAUUAUGGAAAAAGACUAUUACUCAAACAAUUGGACAUGCAAGAUUUCCUUCCACUCAAAUUUAUUCUCAUGUGUUGAAGGAUAUUGAUAUGAAAGGUGACAGGUACGUCUUGAAGCUCUAGCUCUUGUUGAAAGUUUAGAAUCAUGAUUUUGUUUAGAUUACUAAGAAUAGGUUUUUACAAUAAUUAUUCCCUAUCCAAGUUCAAAAAUUCUAGCCCUAGCAGUAUGUGAGCUAUUAUCCAUAAACUUGUUUGAGGUGUAACUUUUUGUAGCCUUUAUAAGUUUAAGUGUAACCUAAUAUGACAUAAUCUAAGAUAGGAAUGAUUUGAAAGUCCGUUAUCAUGUAGUUCGAUCUAGGCUACCCUAAGUUUCUUGAAUUAAGAUGUUUAAUGUACAAUUUUGGAAGAAUCCUUAUUUUCAAAAGUUUCCUACACAGUUGAGAGUAAGAGAGUUAGAGCCAUAAAUAAGUUAAGCAUCAACAUGCUUGUCACUAGAAUUUUCUUUCUUGUCAAAUUGAAAGAAACUAUAGCCUUUGGACUGGCUAAAUACAUCCAUAGCUAUCAGCAAGACAGUAAAUUGCCGAGAGAAAAGAAUGUUUUAUGCAAUGCCUUGCAUGCGGAUAAUUACCUUGUCCAGAUUCUUGAUGAAUAUAUUUUAGGUCUCAACCAUUCCAACAUUAUGGUCCCGAAAGUUCGGUAUUUCUAGUGCCCUCGCACUUGCAUACUACCACUAUGAAGAUAAGCUUAGUAUCUACCCAUUGCUUAAAGGUCGAUUAGUAUUCUCUACAACCUAAAGAAUCGAACCAAGGGAUACAAUAGGCUUGGUGAAAAGUUCUUAGAUAUAAGAUUUGUUCAGUUGAGUGUUUUUAGUUGGGAACUACUUGAUGAAACUUUUAUUUGAGAAAGAUUUGAACAACAUUGAAGAAGAGAGAUAAACUCAUUUAUUGUUUUGCGAUAGUGUUAGCUAGAAGAAGAAAACUUGCUUGGUUGUUAUGCAGAAUCCAAAACCUAGCUACAUUGCAACAUCUUGACCUAAUGCUUUAGGAAACUUCCAACCUUUUAGAAUAUUAGAAAGAUACGAGUUUAGAUCCUCGACUGCUAUAGGUAUAGAUCAUUCAAGAUUUAAGUAAAUAGCCUACCGAAUAUUUUGAACUCAAGGUGAGAACUCAUAAACUAUGUAUACAUGAAAGAUGACACCUCUACAUUAGCACCAGACUGCUAUAUUGAGAAAGAGUAUGCACACCAAACAAUAUAGGAUUUAAGAGGAAGUUAUGCUCACCAUGUGAAGUUCAGUUUUCAUUCAAGGGGAAUGGAAAUACACAAAUACUUUUGGUGAAUACUUUUUGGGAGAAAACCAAGAGGUUAAAGUUAGAUUUAUGUAUUCGUCUAAUAUAUCAACAUGGUAGCAAAAUAGAUCGGAAUGGUAUAAUACCUUAAGAUUUCAAGUACUAUUAGGGAUGUCAUGAUAUAGUCUAAGUACGAACCACCACCUGUAUUGGAUUGAGAAACCUACGUAAAAUUCGAGGACGAAUUUUCUUUUAAGGUGGGUAGACUGUAAUAACCCGAACUUUUAGGAAUAAUUAUAUUGCAUUUUUAUGAUCUCGACAGUUCAUAUAUCUUAGAAAACAUUUUUUUUUUGUGUGAAGAUUUUGAUAAUUCAAAAAGCUCAUCUCAUGACUUUCUAACUCAUGAGUUUAUUACGAAAAUACCUUUUUGAGUGUUGGAUCAUCUCAACAUUUAUAAUUCAUGUAGAUGCCUAUAGAUUACACUUCUCUAAAUCAUUUCAAUUCCUAAGCAUUUUAAUUUGAGUUGAUUAGUUUUAUUCAUUUUGAAAUUAAAUCUUAGAACCAAAUGACAAGCUUUACAUGCAUUUUUCAAGAACAUAAAAAGAAAGUGAAGAUGACUUUGUGAUGAAAGCAGCUGAUCUCAUCAUCUCUAACACAUAAAAAUCUAGCCUAAAAGUCUUUGUUUAUUCACUUGGAGCUUAACCACACUCCUAUUCACCAAGGGUAAGUAGCUAGCUUAGAAACUAACUUGACUAAGGUUAGAUGUUGUUUUGGGUCUAUAAAAGAGCACUACUUCCUGCUCUAACUUCAUCCCAUUCUCAUUCAUAUAGGAAUUUCACUUAGAAACUCAUUGGAAAGAAAGAAAUCUUUAGUUAAAGAAAGUUAGCUUAAGCUCUUAGGUUCUUUAAGUUGUGAAGCUCAAUUUCGUGGCCAAGCCUCCAAUCACCUGUUGAUCACUUCAAAAGAUAUUCAUGUUUUGAGUAGAUGCUUGGGGAAACGGGAUGAUCCUACUAGAUAAAAUAAUGUUUUUCUACUACUAUUUCUAGUAAAUACCCGUACUUAUUUGAAUUUUGCUUAACUUUGAUUAUGUAAAUAUAUUACCGAUUUUUGUUUUCUAAUAAAAGUACUAUUCAAAGAUGUAUAUAAUUUCUUUUACUUCUUGUUGAUUUAUUCAAGAAGAAAAUUUUAUUUGUUUUGACUCACGUCACAAAU